rnacentral:lncRNA from 1 species
GUUAUUUCAAUGGGCACCAGAGCACCAUUUCCUGCAGCCCACAGGGAAGACAGAAUAAUUGGUUGGCAGCAAGAGCUUAGUGUGGAAAUUCAGGGGAGCCUAAGGAUUCCUCAGGAAGGACUCCUCUGGCACUAGCGCUUCAUUGUCUGCUCCACUGGGAAGUAAUCAGCUUCCAGAAAGUUUGAGAGAUUGCAUUUCAGCAAGAGGGCCUCC